GGUUGACCUCGGAUCAGGUAGGGAUACCCGCUGAACUUAAGCAUAUCAAUAAGCGGAGGAAAAGAAACCAACAGGGAUUGCCCCAGUAACGGCGAGUGAAGCGGCAAGAGCUCAAAUUUGAAAGCUGGCUCCUUCGGGGUCCGCAUUGUAAUUUGCAGAGGAUGUUUCGGGAGUGGCCCCCAUCUAAGUGUCCUGGAACGGACCGUCAUAGAGGGUGAGAAUCCCGUAUGGGAUGGGGUGCCCACGCCCGUGUGAAACUCCUUCGACGAGUCGAGUUGUUUGGGAAUGCAGCUCUAAAUGGGUGGUAAAUUUCAUCUAAAGCUAAAUAUUGGCCGGAGACCGAUAGCGCACAAGUAGAGUGAUCGAAAGAUGAAAAGCACUUUGAAAAGAGAGUUAAAAAGCACGUGAAAUUGUUGAAAGGGAAGCGUUUGCGAUCAGACUCGCCGACGGGGUUCAGCCUGCCUUCGGGCAGGUGUACUUCCCCGCCGGCGGGCCAGCGUCGGUUUGGGUGGCCGGUCAAAGGCCCUAGGAAUGUAACGCCUCUCGGGGCGUCUUAUAGCCUAGGGUGUCAUGCGGCCUACCCGGACCGAGGAACGCGCUUCGGCUCGGACGCUGGCAUAAUGGUCGUAAACGACC
rnacentral:rRNA from 1 species